GUCUGAUUUGUCCUUUCUUGCUUUAUGGAAGUUCCGUUCUGAUGAUUUUCCUCCUUAUGGCUUCCACUGUAGUCAUUAGUUGGAGCCGCAGGAACCAAAAUGCGGCUGAUCGAGCCAAGAAAUAUAAUUGCUCAGAUUCGAGACAUCGUGACAAAGAAAAGGAGAUUCUUUAUGCUCAACUUGCAUAUACAGCAGAACAGACACUCUGAUGGGAA